AUUGAACGCUGGCGGCAGGCCUAACACAUGCAAGUCGAACGAGUGGCGGACGGGUGAGUAAUGUCUGGGUAACUGCCGGAUGGAGGGGGAUAACUACUGGAAACGGUAGCUAAUACCGCAUACUAUCAGAUGAGCCGAGGUCGGAUUAGCUAGUUGGUGGGGUAAAGGCCUACAAAGGCGACGAUCCGUAACUGGUCUGAGAGGAUGAUUAGUCACACGGGAACUGAGACACGGUCAAGACUCCUACGGGAGGCAGCAGCGGGGAAUAUUGGACAAUGGGCGCAAGCCUGAUGCAGCCAUGCCGCGUGUGUGCAGAAGGUCUGCGGGUUGUAAAGCACUCUAAGUGGGGAGGCGUUACUAACAGAAUAAGCCCCGGCUAACUCCGUGCUAGCAGCCGCGGUAAUUC
rnacentral:rRNA from 1 species